UCCUACGGGAGGCAGCAGUGGGGAAUAUUGCACAAUGGGCGAAAGCCUGAUGCAGCCAUGCCGCGUGUGUGAAGAAGGCCUUCGGGUUGUAAAGCACUUUCAGCGAGGAGGAAAGGUUACUGGCUAAUAUCCAGUAGCUGUGACGUUACUCGCAGAAGAAGCACCGGCUAACUUCGUGCCAGCAGCCGCGGUAAUACGAGGGGUGCAAGCGUUAAUCGGAAUUACUGGGCGUAAAGCGUACGCAGGCGGUUUGUUAAGCGAGAUGUGAAAGCCCCGGGCUCAACCUGGGAACUGCAUUUCGAACUGGCAAACUAGAGUCUUGUAGAGGGGGGUAGAAUUUCAGGUGUAGCGGUGAAAUGCGUAGAGAUCUGAAGGAAUACCGGUGGCGAAGGCGGCCCCCUGGACAAAGACUGACGCUCAGGUACGAAAGCGUGGGGAGCAAACAGGAUUAGAUACCCUGGUAGUCCACGCCGUAAACGAUGUCUACUCGGAGUUUGGUGUCUUGAACACUGGGCUCUCAAGCUAACGCAUUAAGUAGACCGCCUGGGGAGUACGGCCGCAAGGUUAAAACUCAAAUGAAUUGACGGA
rnacentral:rRNA from 1 species